rnacentral:rRNA from 1 species
AGGCAGCAGUUGGGAAUAUUGGACAAUGGGGGGAACCCUGAUCCAGCCAUGCCGCGUGUGUGAAGAAGGCCUUUUGGUUGUAAAGCACUUUAAGCGAGGAGGAGGCUUACUUAGUUAAUACCUAGGAUAAGUGGACGUUACUCGCAGAAUAAGCACCGGCUAACUCUGUGCCAGCAGCCGCGGUAAUACAGAGGGUGCGAGCGUUAAUCGGAUUUACUGGGCGUAAAGCGUGCGUAGGCGGCUUUAUAAGUUGGAUGUGAAAUCCCCGAGCUUAACUUGGGAAUUGCAUUCAAAACUGUAAGGCUAGAGUAUGGGAGAGGAUGGUAGAAUUCCAGGUGUAGCGGUGAAAUGCGUAGAGAUCUGGAGGAAUACCGAUGGCGAAGGCAGCCAUCUGGCCUAAUACUGACGCUGAGGUACGAAAGCAUGGGGAGCAAACAGGAUUAGAUACCCGAGUAGUCC